ACUUUCAAAGGAUAACAGCCAUCCACCAGCCUUAGGAGCUGGCACACCUUGGUGCAACUCCAAGUGAAAGUA
rnacentral:tRNA from 1 species